AAGCACUGCCUUUGAACCAGGGUAUGGCCCAUUUAUGGCCUCACUGGCUACGCUACGGUGCAAAAGUAAAAAGCACUUGCUUAUAACUGGUCCUGCUCAGCUGAAACCUGAGUGGUUCUUUUAAAAGCAAGUUACAUUU